GAUCGGCCCGCGUCUGAUUAGGUAGUUGGUGGGGUAAUGGCCUACCAAGCCGACAAUCGGUAGCUGGUCUGAGAGGAUGAUCAGCCACACUGGGACUGAGAUACGGCCCAGACUCCUACGGGAGGCAGCAGUGGGGAAUAUUGGACAAUGGGGGCAACCCUGAUCCAGCAAUGCCGCGUGAGUGAUGAAGGCCUUAGGGUUGUAAAGCUCUUUUGUCGGGGACGAUGAUGACGGUACCCGGAGAAUAAGCCCCGGCUAACUUCGUGCCAGCAGCCGCGGUAAUACGAAGGGGGCGAGCGUUGUUCGGAAUUACUGGGCGUAAAGGGCGCGUAGGCGGCCGAUCAAGUUAGAUGUGAAAGUCCUGGGCUUAACCUGGGGACUGCAUUUGAUACUGAUUGGCUUGAAUCCGGGAGAGGAUAGCGGAAUUCCCAGUGUAGAGGUGAAAUUCGUAGAUAUUGGGAAGAACACCAGUGGCGAAGGCGGCUUUCUGGACCGGUAUUGACCCUGAGGCCCGAAAACGUGGGGAGCAAACAAGGAUUAGAUACCCUGGGUAUCCCCCCCCCUAAACGAUUAAAUGCUAAACCCCUGGGGAACAAGCCUCUUUGGUGUCCCCACCUAAACCCAUUUUAGCUUUCCCCCC
rnacentral:rRNA from 1 species